CGCGUAGGCGGAUUAGUCAGUUAGAGGUGAAAUCCCAGGGCUCAACCCUGGAACUGCCUUUAAUACUGCUAGUCUUGAGUUCGAGAGAGGUGAGUGGAAUUCCGAGUGUAGAGGUGAAAUUCGUAGAUAUUCGGAGGAACACCAGUGGCGAAGGCGGCUCACUGGCUCGAUACUGACGCUGAGGUGCGAAAGUGUGGGGAGCAAACA
rnacentral:rRNA from 1 species